UACGAAGGGGGCUAGCGUUGUUCGGAAUUACUGGGCGUAAAGCGUAUGCAGGCGGAUCGUUAAGUCGGGGGUGAAAUCCCGAGGCUCAACCUCGGAACUGCCUUCGAUACUGGCGAUCUUCGAGUCCGGGAGAGGUGAGUGGAACUCCGAGUGUAGAGGUGAAAUUCGUAGAUAUUCGCAAGAACACCAGUGGCGAAGGCGGCUCACUGGCCCGAUACUGACGCUGAGGCACGAAAGCGUGGGGAGCAAACAGG
rnacentral:rRNA from 1 species